rnacentral:rRNA from 1 species
GAUGAACGCUAGCUACAGGCUUAACACAUGCAAGUCGAGGGGCAGCGGGAUUGAAGCUUGCUUCAAUUGCCGGCGACCGGCGCACGGGUGAGUAACGCGUAUCCAACCUUCCGUACACUCAGGGAUAGCCUUUCGAAAGAAAGAUUAAUACCUGAUGGUAUGAUGAGAUUGCAUGAGUUUUAUGUUAAAGAGACUCGGUUACAGAUGAACAUGCGUUCCAUUAGCUGGUUGGCGGGGUAACGGCCCACCAAGGCAACGAUGGAUAGGGGUUCUGAGAGGAAGGUCCCCCACACUGGUACUGAGACACGGACCAGACUCCUACGGGAGGCAGCAGUGAGGAAUAUUGGUCAAUGGGCGAGAGCCUGAACCAGCCAAGUCGCGUGGAGGAAGACUGCCCUAGGGUUGUAAACUCCUUUUACCUGGGAAUAACGGGGCNCUACGCGUAGCGCUGUGCA